ensembl:lncRNA
CUUGUUUAUCACAGCGUGUGGAGUGCAGCCUUAUCAAGGCUCAUUCUUUGGACCCUCUGGACAUGUUAAUCUACAAAUGAUAAUCAAUAGCUUGUGAAUUCUUAUAUUUUAAAGAGGUUUAUCCUCUUUCUCACUCAUCUGUCUCUGCUACUUAUAGCACAGAGAUCAAGUAAAUGCGCACAAGAUGCAUUCAAAAACAGGCCUGCCUCAAAAGCGGGUCAACCACUAAUCAGAGGGUGAGUUGUUUGAUCCCUGGCUAUUCCAGUCUGCAUGUUAAUGUCCACUUAGACAAUAUACUGAAUCCCAAAUCUUCCUGAAUGUAUUCCCCGGUGUCUCAGUAACAGAUAAAGAGCUUGGCCUUCAGUGUAAAAAGUGCUCUGAGUGCUCUAUAAGGAUCUUUGUCUAUAGGCAGCAUUCUUUGCACUCUUAUAAUCUAUUUUGUCUACAAGUUCUCUACAAGUGAAGGUCAACAUUGACAGCUGAAAAUCCUCGGUGCAAAAAAUACAGCCCAUACACAGCUUCUCAUUUUGCUGCUGAUCUUGCAGUGCUCUGUUGAAAGUAGACUAAAUGCUGCUGUGUUCCAAGAAGGGGUGGGCUUCACAAUAAACUUGUGAAAGAAAAAGACCAUUUUUCAAACCUAGCAAGGUUUUUAUGUAAAUUAAAAAAGAAACAGGCCAAGGAUACUUCCAGCACAAAAAGAAAGAAAGAAAUUUAAAAAAAAAAAAGUUGUCUCGGACUGUGCUCAUGAAACCCCAAAUCCUUACUUGAUUCAAAUUAGGUUUAUUAGUCUUUCAAGGAUGUCUUCUCGUUCAAGUUUAAUUACUCAUUUGUUCAUUAAUCAUAAAACCAAAUGUAUAUGUAAGGACACAGUAGACAGAGUAUUUCUUUCUCAUUAUUUCUUUUUUGUAAGAACAAUUUAAAGUAACAGUACUCUUUUUAUAUUUUCUGAAGAACAGUAAUAUUGGUGGUUGAAACUUUCACCUGGGUUUUUAUGUCUUGGGAACUUUAUGAGCAAAACUUUGUCUGUCUUUAAUUCCUAUGCUUUUGCAAGAGCAAACACACCUAGAUCUUAUAAUAAGAAAGUCAAUCCUAGGGACAAUCCUCUGAACACUAAACAAUAUUUCACUGGAAAGCACUGUUCCAGAGGAAUAUGGCUCAUAUCUUCAGUUUCAGUUCUGUCUUCCUUCGUCUACAAAAGCCAUGGUAACAAUGUUGCCAUGACCACCUUAAAACUACUGGCAACAGAUUACAUAUUGGAAAAGUAAAGUUAAGAAAAAAACACAAAAAAACAAACAAAAAAAAAGAACCUUGUUCAAGAUUUUUUGAGGACAGAGCGUAAUGAUAGUGAUUUAAAAUUUCACUUUUAGACUGUUUAUGGUAAAAUCCUUAACAUGGACAUGCACUUGAUUUCACCACAAAAACACACAACACAUCCUGACAGACAGUCUCCUCAUGAGUAGAUAUAAAUUAUAGAUCAUGUUCCCACUCUAAGCUUGUGCCUCUGCCAGACAGAGUUCUGGGCUAAAAUGCUGAGAUAGACUGUUUCAGUAUCUCAUCUCACUCAAAAGUGAGAGAGA